rfam:Triticum aestivum genome assembly, contig: Triticum_aestivum_CS42_TGACv1_scaffold_406256_5BL
AAGGUGGAUGAGGAGGAUGUUGUCUCUCACAUCCUCGUUGGACUCGACGAGGAGUUCGACCCCGUGGUAUCUACCAUGUGCUCUAGGGUUGAGCCUGUCAGGGUCCCGGAGCUGUACUCGCAGCUCCUGAGCUUCGAGA